rnacentral:rRNA from 1 species
CCAGUAGUCAUAUGCUUGUCUCAAAGAUUAAGCCAUGCAUGUCUAAGUUCACACCCUCGUACGGUGAAACCGCGAAUGGCUCAUUAAAUCAGUCGAGGUUCCUUAGAUGAUCCAUUUCUACUUGGAUAACUGUGGUAAUUCUAGAGCUAAUACAUGCCCAACAGCUCCGACCCCGGGCUUCGCGGUUCGGGGAAAGAGCGCUUUUAUUAGUUCAAAACCAGUCGGGGGUUUCGGCCCUCGUGCUUUGGUGACUCUGGAUAACUUUGAGCCGAUCGCAUGGCCUCGAGCCGGCGACGCAUCUUUCAAAUGUCUGCCCUAUCAAAUGACGACGGUACGUGAUCUGCCUACCGUGUUGACUACGGGUAGCGGGGAAUCAGGGUUCGAUUCCGGAGAGGGAGCAUGAGAAAGGGCUACCACAUCCAAGGAAGGCAGAGGCGCGC